UCAUCUUUGACAGAAAACAAAAGUAUAAUUCUGAACUUUAUAAAUGCCAGGGUUGUGGCAUGUAUUGCUCUGGGUGGACAAAGACAUGACAAAAUGAUCUGACAUCAAAUGCUUUUGGAGGGCAUAAAAGUGGCACUUGGCCAUGCAGAUGAUGGGCCCCUGUGAUGUAUGCUGUGACCUAAUUUGUCUUUGUUCCAAGCAGUACAUCACUACCACUGGAUCCAGCAGGCCAUCCAAAACAGUGGCAGCCACAAGCACAAUUUCUAAGUGUUCCUCUAGUGAGGGACUUACACCCGCUUAAAACCCCAUCCAAGGAGGAGCCACAUGAGUUCUCUCAGCCCAUCAAGCAAAGAACCGGCCCAAGCAGCUUCCAGCCUGAGCAUCCCUUAUCCAUGGUAGCCAAAUCCUGUGUUUCUUUUCUGAAGUGGUCUCUGCAUAGCAACAGUAGAUGGAGGCUUAACACCCCCAGGUGGUGCUUGUGACUCUGUGUUGUUGCUAACACAUAUUUGCCUACCAUCCCCGGGGCUCAGAAUUGCUCAGAGGCAGCAGCAGUGCUGAGACAGAUAUAGACAGACUGAAAAACAAAAUUUUACUGGGCUAUUCCACGUUGAAGAGUUCACCAAGCCCUGCAUACAGAGAUGGUGUGGGAUAUAUCCGGUCAUAGGAAUUCUCACAGAACAUGGAAAAUUGACAUUCCAUGAAUCCUGGCAGUCCACGUGGUCAACAAGCUGAGUGCACAGUCCCUCACAACACAGCAUGUGUGCAGCUUGGCUGGGUAUAGAACUUCAUCCAAGAUAAAAAAACAGCAAUGCCUGAAAUAAACACAAGUUUUCCACCUUUACAGAAGCCAAGGUUCUGCAGUGGAGGAGAGAGUGCCAGCUACCCACUCUGGAAGAGUAGAGAGUUGACAAUGACUGGUAUUUUUUCUCUUCAGUGUAGUUGUAAGAACUGCAUGCAUACAUCCUGUGGGAAUGUGAAUCCUGUCUUUUGUUUCCUGCAAUGGGGGAGUUUCCUGCAAUGGGCAAAGACCUAUCAAUAUUUUCAGUGUUGCUGAAGAUUAUGUGGGGACACAAGCUGUGGAGAAUGGUUUUGAAAAUCUUGAAAACAGGCUCACCUAGGAUUUGCUGAAGCUCAUCUGUACUAGAUGCCUCCUGAAUAUGCAUGGCUGCCCAGAAUGCCAGUUCAUGCUGAAUGGCAGGUGCUAACUCUGAGACAGGCAUCUGGCAUGCAGAGAGUUUUUGAUUAUCUGCUGCUUGUUCCAAAUACAGACCAUAACAUGGUGCCACAGGGAAUGUUAGUCUUCAACAUGCAAAGCAUCCUAAGUUAUGAAGUUAUUGAAAAAAAAAUUUUAUAUAAGUCUAGAAGUUCUUGCAAGGUAUUGAGAUGUGAUAUCUGGAGUUGGUUUAUCCGGCUCAGGCAGGCUCAGGAGAGGCCUGAGAUGCUGUCAUGAUUUCUUGAGCUGUUGCACAAGGAGCAGGUAGAGUGGCAGCCAGCAAGCAAAGCAAAAUACCAGGAGGUGGGGCGUGUUUGUAGUGUAGGCUGCACAAAGGUUACGGAUGUGUGCUAGGCUUAUUCUGAGCAACAUACUGUGGUUAGAGCAGACAAUUGCUGAGCGUUGUGCAUAAUGCACGACAGGCAGGGCUGUGGUAUGCAGAUAAAAACAGCGUGGGAUGGAUUUUGCACUAAAAUAUGCUCUGUGAGUGUGAAGAAAGGAUGAAACCAGUCUGCUAGGAAAGCCCUAGCUUUGACCUGUGUGCCAAAAGCUAGUCUGCGCCAGAUGGCCUGGAUGAGAAUCACAAAAAAAGGGAGGUUAAAUUGGGUUCUUAUAAAUCCCCGUGAGCUGCCCCUUCAUGCCACCGGUAAUUUGCUUUUUGUUAGAAUUUCUCUGUGGAAGAAAUCUUCCUAAUUGCACCUAUCUUCAGAAGUGGAAAGAAAAUGCAAGUUUUGACAGAUAAUUUCCCCUUACAGGAUGUUCCUUCUGAGUAUGGUAUACCUAAAAUUCCACCUGCAGUUUCUCCACGGGCAGUGAGUGCCAGACUUUUCCCCCUUGAUGUCCUCUGUCCCUAGUCCUCAGCUCUGAGUAGACACCUGCUAGCUGAAGCUUCAGCCAUCAGCUUUACCAAGUAUUCACCGUCUCUGAGGCAUCAAGGGCUGAUGCUGUUUGCGUGGACUCACGCUCCUCAUGGGUGUUUGGAGACUUCAUUUUUCUACAUGUAACCCCACUUUAUACAUUUUUGCAUGUAAAUAUUUAUGUUUUUAUCUCAGAGUUUAAAAUUUUUUUCCUGUUUUAUUCCCUCUGGUAUUCUGUACCCACACUCCUUUUAAUCAAAUAAAACAUACCAAUUCAGAAUGCCCUCAA